UACAGAGGUCUCGAGCGUUAGGCGGAAUCACUGGGCUUAAAGCGUGUGUAGGCGGAUCGUUAAGUACCUUGUGAAAUCCCACGGCUUAACCGUGGAACUGCUUGGUAUACUGGCGGUCUUGAGCCAGCUAGGGGCUACCGGAACAAAUGGUGGAGCGGUGAAAUGCGUAGAUAUCAUUUGGAACGCCAAUGGUGAAAAACAGGUAGCUGGGGGCUGUGCUG
rnacentral:rRNA from 1 species